GAUGAAGAACGUAGCAAAAUGCGAUAAGUAAUGUGAAUUGCAGAAUUCAGUGAAUCAUCGAAUCUUUGAACGCACAUUGCGCCCGCCAGUAUUCUGGCGGGCAUGCCUGUUCGAGCGUCAUUUCAACCCUCAAGCACAGCUUGGUGUUGGGACUCGCGUUAAUUCGCGUUCCUCAAAUUGAUUGGCGGUCACGUCGAGCUUCCAUAGCGUAGUAGUAAAACCCUCGUUACUGGUAAUCGUCGCGGCCACGCCGUUAAACCCCAACUUCUGAAUGUUGACCUCGGAUCAGGUAGGAAUACCCGCUGAACUUAAGCAUAUCAAUAAGCGGAGGA
rnacentral:misc_RNA from 1 species